UUCUGGUUUAAUCGUGAGGUCCCAGCAUUGGUAAUUUUUAAAGCCCCUGAGAUUAUUCUGAUUGUAGCCAAGGUUAAGAACCAUCCAUUUUCAAUACAAUUUCUUAAGAGGAGUCUGCGUUUACUUUUUGUACUUUCUCAUCUCUCAUUCCUGUACCACUGUCGUCUGGCCUUCCUUUCACUAAAAUCCACGGUGACCCAGUAGAUCCUUAAUCAUCUUUAUCAUGUGGGUCCAAUUCAUGAAUUCAGCAUUUUUGGUCUUUUUCUUCUCUCUUGAAAUCCUGUACUUCUGACUUCCGUGACAUUACGUUUUCUUGAUUUACCUCUUCUCUGACAUUUCCUCUUGUGAAUACUUCGUAAACAUUUGUUUUCCCAAGGCAUUUCCUUCGCCUGCUUUUCUUCGUACUCUGCAGCAGGGUUUCUUAACAUUAGGACUGGUGACAUUUUGGGUACUUUGUUGUCGUGCGGGGCUGUCUCUAAAUGUUUAGCAGCAGCCCCGGCCUCUCCCUACUUCCUCACCCCACCCCCAGUGAAGACAACCAGAAAUGUCUCUAGACAUUGUCAGAUGUCCCCUGGGAGCAGAUAUUGUCCCAGCUUGAGAACCACUACUCUUUAAGCUCUCUGGCCGUUCUCAAGUUCUCUCACAGUUAUAAUUACCUGUGUACUAAAGACUCCCAGAUCUAUUUUUCUAUUUUAACCUUUUCCCCUAAUGUAAGACUUGAAUAUAUAACCUCUUAUUAGACAUUUCCAUCUGGAUGCUCCAUAGAUACUCCAAACUUACCAAGAUGGAAACUAAACUCACCCAAAUCUCUGAUCUUUUUUCUUUCUUUCUGAUUUUAAUUGGUGGCGCCACUCUCUGUCCAGUUUAGAAGCCUGGGCAUUAACCUGGAAUCGUUUCUUCGUCUCACUCAAUCCUCCCGUAGAUGCACACUUAGGAUGUCAUUAAGUCUUUCUGAUUAUUAUUUCGUUUCUCAACUUCUGUUUUGCCCAGCUGUUUCCCCCUAGUUCACAUCCUCCUCUUCCCUUGCUUGCCUGCACUCUUGCAUUAGACUCCUUACUCUUCCUUCUCCUUCAGAGCUUUAGCAUUCUUAAAUUUACUCCCAUAUUACCCUUGCAGGAUUAUCUCCCUAAAUUUUCAAAUCUGCAUCAUCACUUUCCUACUUAAAAUCCAUUGUCACAGGGUCUGUAACUUCAAAUACAAAGCCCUCUAUGUUUUUUAAUCCUCCCAACCUUUGCAGCCUUGUUUCCAGUCAGGAUUUUUUUGUUGCCAAAUAAUGGGGAGAAUUACCCUACUUUGUUCUUUCGACUGUACGAAUGCUUAAAAACACAAUAUGACUGCCCUCAGGCAGCCUUCUGUCCUGUCUGCAAUCUAAGAGGAGUAGGGGACUAACUUCAUGCCUAGAAUUUUUUAGGCAGUAGGCUCUCUACACUCUUUUCAUGGAAUCCUUGAGCUGGGCCAUAUACAGUUAAAGUAGGGAUCAAAUUUUAAAAUCUUUUGCUCAAAAAUUCCUUGUCGGACUAAUAAUAUAUCCAUGGGAACACGUUAGUUUGAAUCAGUACUCGGUUGCUUCACCUUUUUAAUUCCUAGGAAGUUGUAGUGUCCUCCAUUACUACAUGGUCCCUUUGACUAGCAGAGUGGGAGAAAGAUAAGUGUCCUUUUCUCAUACGUUUUUUACAGAUAAACAUAUUACCUUAGUAACAUGCAAGUAACAUAUAACCCGAUUUAAUGGUGGCUUAAACAAGAUUCUUUUUUCUUACACUUAGCAGGUCUCUAGGUAGGUGCAGCAGGUGAGUUCAGUGUCUCAACCCUAUUAGGGUUGGAGCUCUGAGGUUCUCUUGGUCUUUCCCUCCUGCUUACUGCCUUAGGGCCUCAGGCAGGAAGAAAGAAAAGGGUAGUGUCCGUUUAUUUGUCCUAUUUUUCUUUUUAAAGAAAGGAAAAUCUUUUCCAUUACUCCACUCCCACUUCUGUACGCCCUGCCAAGAAAAUUCUACUCACCAGGCACUUGGUCACACGCUCCCCAACCCCAGCCGUAAUGGAAGCUGGAAAGAGCGUGGGUUUAGCUCUUCUGUUCUCUGCAGUAGGAAGUGGCAAGGGAGAAGGGUGUUGGGAAUGGAUUUGGGGUCAGCCAGCCAGUGUCUGCUAAUUAUCUAUUUUAUUAGCUAUUUCAGCAAAUAGAAUAAGUGGUGGGUUAUUUCAGAUUAAUUAUAGUGUAGAAUUAAUGUUUAUUUUACAUUAAACAAUGUUUUCUCAAUCUUCUGAAGAUUUUGAUCUUAUUACUUGUAAAAUAUAUCAACUAUGGGCCUUUAUCCCACCACCUUUUUUUGGAUGGGUGUUAGUAACUCAUGAUUUGGGCUCUAAAUCAGUGUUUUCUACAUUUUAGACAGUAAGUACUGUCUUGAUGAUUUUUUUUUUCCCCUCUCAACAUUAUUUGAUGUUUUCUUUAGACCUACUUUUUUUUUUUUUUUAACCUGAGAUAUACUGUGGGUAAGAAGCUUCAUAUUACCUGUAUAAACAUUAUUAUAUACUCAUUAGCUGGUUUUUUUUUUUUUCCCCACUCAUCUUUCUUGUCAAGUAGAGACCUCCCUCUGCUAUAGGAUCAGAAUAUGCCAGAUAUUGCUUUUCAAGGCUCUUUGACAGGUAGGACAAAGGCGUAUAACCCGUUUCUUACCAAUGGGACCUAAAGGGUCAGCUGGAAGGACUUCUGAGAAAAUUUUUCUUCUCUUUUCUUCCCUUGAGGACAGUCCUAGCUCUUUACUUCCUGUCUAAGGAUGUGAUUCUUGGAGCCGCCGCAGCCAUCUUGCAACCAUGUAUGGGAAACAUGGCUGAUAUGCUGAGGAUGGCAGAGAGGAAAGAUGGAAAGAGUCAUCUUUCAUUGAGUUGCUAUACCAAACUUGGGACUGUUUGCCUCCAGACUGUUUGUUAAUUAAGACAUUGCCCCAUAAUCUCUGAGUGACAAAGACCAACUCAUUAGGAUAAAGCACUGGGUAGAUGUGCCAUCUUCAGAAUGACAAGUUUCAAACAUCUGUUUGUAUUUGUGUUGUAAGUAUUUGAGGACCAAAUAUAGCGUGUUGAUAAGUGUUUGUAAAAUGGAAUUCUCAAAAAAAAAAAA